CAAACCCUGACCCAAGGAGGGGACAUGGACCCUCAGGCCAUCCCCACCAUGGCUGAACAAGAGGACACCCCUUGUGGGGCCCCUGAGGAGCCGUCCCCAGGAGUGACCCUCAGCGACAGCCUCAUCGUGACCCAGCUGGGAUCCACGGGGCCGCUGCCCACCUCCAGCAUCCGCCUGGAUCGGGAGAACAUCUCCUCCAUCGGGAAGCUCCAGAGGCUGGGACAGAUCCACAGCCUCUACCUG